GUGUCAGCAGCCGCGGUAAGACAGAGGGUGCAAACGUUGCUCGGAAUUACUGGGCGUAAAGCGCGUGUAGGCGGUUCCGCAAGUCAGGUGUGAAAGCCCAGGGCUCAACCCUGGAAGUGCACUUGAUACUACGGAGCUUGAGUACUGAAGAGGAGAGCGGAAUUCCCGGUGUAGAGGUGAAAUUCGUAGAUAUCGGGAGGAACACCAGUGGCGAAGGCGGCUCUCUGGGCAGAUACUGACGCUGAGACGCGAAAGCAUGGGGAGCAAACAGGAUUAGAAACCCCCGUAGUCC
rnacentral:rRNA from 1 species